UACGUAGGGGGCAAGCGUUGUCCGGAAUCAUUGGGCGUAAAGAGCGCGUAGGCGGUCCGGUAAGUCCGCUCUGAAAGUCCGGGGCUCAACCCCGGGAGGCGGGCGGAUACUGUCGGGCUAGAGUCCGGAAGAGGCGAGUGGAAUUCCUGGUGUAGCGGUGAAAUGCGCAGAUAUCAGGAGGAACGCCGGUGGCGAAAGCGACGUGCUGGACCCUUUCUGACGCUGAGGCGCGAAAGCCAGGGGAGCAAACGGG
rnacentral:rRNA from 1 species